CUAUGCUCCUUAACUUCCGCACGGAGCCAUUGUCCAUAAGCCAUCUUCUCCUUUCCAUCAAGUCUCGCUUUGUCAAAUGGAAUGUCCUUACAAGACAUGGCAUAAUGCCCCGACUUCCCACAUGAAUAACGAAGUGUGAAAGCCGCUCAUAACGAAAAUCCAACCAUAAUGUCUUGUUAUUGAUUCUAAUAAGUCGGCUUGUCUGCAAAGGUUCCUGUAGAUUAAUUUCUACUCUUGCGCGACCCGAUCUCAUGUUAAAACCUUCUUUAGUUUUUGCUUUUACUUCUAACACUGUGCCAAUAUUUUUGACUGCCUUGGAAAUCAUUUGUUCAGUGCACCACUCCAAUGGCAAGCCAAAAACUUGCCCCCAAAAGGCGCAAGUGGAGAAGUCGUAGCAAUGCAACGGGGUAUUUGGAAUCCAAGAUUUAAAAGCUACAAGAUGUCUGGAAAAUAGCCAAGGGGAUGGCUCGUCGUUCUAGACCCUCUAUUUCAUGUGCUGAGCAUAAUCUUCCCAGACGUUGACAAAGUGCGGCAAGUUGGGAAGAAGUCUCAUCUUCUUCAUGGUCCAUGAGUUCGCUAGACAGAAUCGA